rnacentral:rRNA from 1 species
AAUGAACGUUGGCGGCGUGGAUUAGGCAUGCAAGUCGAGCGAGAAGUUCCUUCGGGAACGGACAGCGGCGAAAGGGAGAGGAAUACGUAGAAAUCUACCCCUGAGACCGGGAUAGCGUCGGGAAACUGGCAGUAAUACCGGAUAACGUCUUAGGACCAAAGGUGUGAUUCCACUUGGGGAUGAGUCUACGCCCUAUUAGCUAGUUGGUGGGGUAAUGGCCUACCAAGGCAAUGAUGGGUAGCGGGUGUGAGAGCAUGACCCGCCUCACUGGGACUGAGAACUGCCCAGACACCUACGGGUGGCUGCAGUCGAGAAUCUUUGUCAAUGGACGAAAGUCUGAACAAGCGACGCCGCGUGCGGGAUGAAGGCCUUCGGUUGUAAACCGCUGUCGUAGGGAACGAAAUAGUACGGGGGUUCGU